GAUAUCCAAGCUUUGCUAAUAGUAGGUCAAUGGAAUUUGUUUUUGUUGGAAGAUAGGUUAAGACUCUUUUGCCGAUCUAUAAAAGGAAAGUUGAAUGGUACACCGGCAAUGGUUAAACAAUCGCCAAACUCUCCUCUAAAGAUCUCUCUUCAUGUCCUUCCUCACACAAUCUGGGACUAAGACAUGAGUUUUCGAGUCUUCCUUCAUCUCCAUUCCCAGCUUAGCAAGCUUAUGAGCAACCAUAUUUGUUUCUCGUCGCACAUGCAGAAAUUGAGCUUCAAAGUUGCACUUAACAUACCCUGUCACUUCCUGUAUAAUCAUUGCAAGUUGGUGAAGUUCAUAGUUCUCGACCUCUAUCAGCAUCUAGUGGAUAAGAGAGGCAUCCAUUUCCACCUGCAGCUUCUUGAUCACUUAUCUAAUCCUAAGAUAAAAAUGAAAGUUUUGAUUGUUUGAUAAUAGUAUUAUCUGCAUUGCUUGUAAGUCAUAACAAAAUUAUAAAUCAUGUGAAGUGAAAUGUGGAUAGCAAUAGCAUUAGACUUGUGCACGUCUAAAGUGUUGGACAAGUAGAGAGUUGCAGUACAUGGCUUUUCCUGGAAUCGGAUUGAUCACUGUUCCUAUUUUUAUUUCAAAGGUUCCUCGAUAUCGUAGGUCAUGGAAAUACAGAAUCGCGAUUUUUAGUCAGAUAACUUGUUCUAUUGACUAUUCCAUUUAAAGUAAAUAAAAUGUUGGUUGUAAAGUUUAGUUCAGUAAGAGUUAUCUGCAAGUUUAAUAUAUUAUUAUUUAUUCCUA